GGAAACCACAUCUUGAGCACGCCCUUCACAGCUCUGCUGUUUGAUUAGAGCCUGGCUGGCUUAACUGCGUCAAAGGGUCUCCUGUGUUUUCUCACUCAGGGAUGGUGACGUGGAGGGCUCCUUUAAGUAUUCUGCUACCGAAAAUUCCUGACAACAUCCCUGAAUUCUACUACCACUCUCUCUGUGGAGCACCACUAAGUUUGCUCUUCUCCUGGGCUGUCCCCAUUUGCUGAUAAUUGUUUUAUACAGUGUAACUAGUAGGGGGUGCCAAAGUGCACACAGCCACAUGAUAGGAAGACUCUUUUCUCUCCUUCCACCCUCCUGGUGAGUUUUCGUUCACUUCCUCACAACUCCGACUCCCCGAGGUGAGGUUUUGGGCCCCUUUUAAGCAGGUCCCAGGGAAUGCUUCUGAUACCAUGGUGUGUCCUACUGCAAGCAUAUAACCAGGGGGUCCUACACUGAUAGCAUCCUCUAAUGGCACCAGGAACUGCAACAGAUAUACACUUCUUGACUUCAACUCCCAUGCACCCCAGUGGGUGUUCAAACUGGGAUACCUCAAGAGGACCACUGCCAUCCUAAGUUUCUGUUGAUCCAUCCCUUAUAUUCUUCCGGCCAGGCAACAAGUCUUUCAUCCAG